rnacentral:rRNA from 1 species
UACGUAGGGGGCAAGCGUUGUCCGGAAUCAUUGGGCGUAAAGCGCGUGUAGGCGGUUCGGUAAGUCGGCGGUGAAAGUCCAGGGCUCAACCCUGGGAUGCCGGUCGAUACUGCCGGACUAGAGUUCGGAAGAGGCGAGUGGAAUUCCCGGUGUAGCGGUGAAAUGCGCAGAUAUCGGGAGGAACACCAAUGGCGAAGGCAGCUCGCUGGGACGUUACUGACGCUGAGACGCGAAAGCGUGGGGAGCAAACAGG